CAGCAGCCGCGGGAAUACGAAGGGUGCAAGCGUUACUCGGAAUUACUGGGCGUAAAGCGUGCGUAGGUGGUGGUUUAAGUCCGUUGUGAAAGCCCUGGGCUCAACCUGGGAAUUGCAGUGGAUACUGGGUCACUAGAGUGUGGUAGAGGAUAGUGGAAUUUCCGGUGUAGCAGUGAAAUGCGUAGAGGUCGGAAGGAACAUCUGUGGCGAAGGCGACUAUCUGGGCCAACACUGACACUGAGGCACGAAAGCGUGGGGAGCAAACAGGAUUAGAUACCCGCGUAGUCCCUGUCUCUUAUAC
rnacentral:rRNA from 1 species